rnacentral:rRNA from 1 species
UACUUAGGGGGCAAGCGUUGUCCGGAAUUAUUGGGCGUAAAGAGCGUGUAGGCGGUCCGGUAAGUCGGCUGUGAAAGUCCAGGGCUCAACCCUGGGAUGCCGGUCGAUACUGCCGGACUAGAGUUCGGAAGAGGCGAGUGGAAUUCCCGGUGUAGCGGUGAAAUGCGCAGAUAUCGGGAGGAACACCUAUGGCGAAGGCAGCUCGCUGGGACGUUACUGACGCUGAGACGCGAAAGUCAGGGGAGCAAACGGG